UCCCGCUUAACUCAGUGGCAGAGUGCGUCACUAGUAAGCAAACCAGGCUUCCAACAUGAAAAUGUUGUUAUGACGAAGUCAGUCGUUCAAAUCGGCUAGUGGGAA